CCACACCCCGCUGCCCAUGCUGCGGGCACCCCAAAGCGCGGCCACAUCGCAGCGAAGCAGAGGGGACCUCGACUUUUCCCUCUAUUUGUUUCGCAGCUGUGCAGCUCCAAGGGAAAUCACACGGCCGUGCUUUUCUCAUUAAGCGCCGUCACAUUUUCCAGACAGAAGCUCAGAGCCCAGUGCUGUAAAACUGGGAUUUUUUUCCUCCUUUUUCAGCUGCAGAUGCUUAAAGAUCCCUGGCUGAAGGAUCCUUCCCGGCCCCACUGAUGUGUCCCCUCAGUGGGGCUCUGACCCAGGGCUGAGCAGGAGGAAGCCCCCGUUGCAGAACCCGGGUGCACUGUGGACAACAUGGAGAAAACCCAUUCACUCAUACACCGAGUGCCCCAUGCUUUGGCUGGAAUGGUGUUCCCGUGCACCAGGAGCAGGUGAGCAGCUCGGCCAGGCCAGGGCGGCUGUAGGGUGCAUCACACAGACACCCCCUGCAGGAGGAGACGUCCCAACUCCCAGCACUCCCAGUGCUCCCGGUGUGCUGCUGCCUGCAUCUGCUCCGGGGCAUCGCCUUCCCCACGCUGCCAGCCUGCAGCAAAAUGGCAUUUCAGAGCGUCGUGGCAAAACGGCAUCCCGACAUCAUACAACCACACAACCGUAUCACUUCUUGGCAUUAAAACCAGAGCACCCCAAGG
ensembl:lncRNA